GACGAACGCUGGCGGCGUGCCUAAUACAUGCAAGUCGAACGCAGUGGGGACGGGUGAGUAACACGUUGGUAACCUCCCAUCAGAGGGGAUAACACUUGGACACAGGUGCUAAACCGAUAUUGGUGGAUGGACCCGCGGUGCAUUAGCUAGUUGGUGAGGUAACGGCUCACCAAGGCCACGAUGCAUAGCCGACCGGAGGGGGGGAUCGGCCACACGGGGACUGAGAAACGGCCCAGACUCCGAGGGUAGGAAGCAGUAGGGAAUCUUCGGCAAUGGACGAAAGUCUGCCCGAGCAACGCCGCGUGAGUGAAGAAGGUUUUGGGAUCGUAAAACUCUGUUGUUAGAGAAGCGGUAUCUAACCAGAAAGCCACGGCUAACUACGUGCCAGCAGCCGCGGUAAUUC
rnacentral:rRNA from 1 species